GGCGGACGGGUGAAUAACGCGUGGGUAACCUGCCUUGUACUGGGGGAUAGCAGCUGGAAACGGCUGGUAAUACCGCAUAAGCGCACAAUGUUGCAUGACAUGGUGUGAAAAACUCCGGUGGUAUAAGAUGGACCCGCGUCUGAUUAGCUAGUUGGUGAGAUAACAGCCCACCAAGGCGACGAUCAGUAGCCGACCUGAGAGGGUGACCGGCCACAUUGGGACUGAGACACGGCCCAGACUCCUACGGGAGGCAGCAGUGGGGAAUAUUGCACAAUGGAGGAAACUCUGAUGCAGCGACGCCGCGUGAGUGAAGAAGUAAUUCGUUAUGUAAAGCUCUAUCAGCAGGGAAGAUAGUGACGGUACCUGACUAAGAAGCUCCGGCUAAAUACGUGCCAGCAGCCGCGGUAAUACGUAUGGAGCAAGCGUUAUCCGGAUUUACUGGGUGUAAAGGGAGUGUAGGUGGCCAUGCAAGUCAGAAGUGAAAAUCCGGGGCUCAACCCCGGAACUGCUUUUGAAACUGUAAGGCUAGAGUGCAGGAGGGGUGAGUGGAAUUCCUAGUGUAGCGGUGAAAUGCGUAGAUAUUAGGAGGAACAC
rnacentral:rRNA from 1 species